rnacentral:rRNA from 1 species
UACGAAGGGGGCUAGCGUUGCUCGGAAUGACUGGGCGUAAGGGGCGCGUAGGCGGUUUGAUUAGUUAGGCGUGAAAUUCCCGGGCUCAACCUGGGAACUGCGUUUAAUACAGUCAGACUUGAGUUCGGAAGAGGGUCGUGGAAUUCCCAGUGUAGAGGUGAAAUUCGUAGAUAUUGGGAAGAACACCGAUGGCGAAGGCAGCCCCCUGGGUCGACACUGACGCUCAUGCACGAAAGCGUGGGUAGCAAACAGG